GUAAACUUCCGAUCGUCAACAGAGCGUAAAUCAACAACAUGCAAAGAUGUUACAUAAAGAGACAGCCAUUACCGGCUUAUCUUAUUUAUUAAACAGUCCUAAGUAAAUAUUAUUAAUUUUUAAAACAGCGAUACAUAAAUGGUUUAAAUAUUUUGUGUGGAAGGUAAUGAACUUUCAUUUUUUAAAGCGAUCACGUUGACUACACAUGUCAACAAAAUUGAAAAAAUGGCGGCAUAUUAUUUUAUCAUGAACGCAAAUCGAAAGUACGAAGAAAUGACAUAACAAUGACUUUUAUUGUCAAAAUUUAUACAUAAUAUUAAUAAUUGAAACCUGUUCACACAUUGUGGUAACGUACGCUUUACAGCUUUACGUAAUUGAUCUAAUAUUAAAACUGAAAGUAGGUCAGAGUAUUUUUCGUUUUCCAUGAUGCAUUAUGGCAUCACGCGGCCGU
rnacentral:lncRNA from 1 species